CGGGACGCUCCAGCAGUGAGGAAUAUUGCACAAUGGGGGGAACCCUGAUGCAGCAACGCCGCGUGGAGGAUGACGCAUUUCGGUGUGUAAACUCCUUUUAUAUGUCAAGAAAAUGACGGUAGCAUAUGAAUAAGCACCGGCUAACUCCGUGCCAGCAGCCGCGAUAAUACGGAGGGUGCAAGCGUUACUCGGAAUCACUGGGCGUAAAGGACGCGUAGGCGGGUUGGAAGGUCAGGUGUGAAAUCCUACAGCUUAACUGUAGAACUGCACUUGAAACUUCUAAUCUAGAGUAUGGGAGGGGGAGAUGGAAUUAGUGGUGUAGGGGUAAAAUCCGUAGAUAUCACUAGGAAUACCUAAAGCGAAGGCGAUCUCCUGGAACAUUACUGACGCUAAGGCGUGAAAGCGUGGGGAGCAAACAGGAUUAGAUACCCGCGUAGUC
rnacentral:rRNA from 1 species